rnacentral:rRNA from 1 species
CUACGUGCCAGCAGCCGCGGUAAUACGGAAGGUCCUGGUGUUAUCCGGAUUUAUUGGGUUUAAAGGGAGCGUAGGCCGUAGAUUAAGUGUGUUGUGAAAUGUAGGCGCCCAACGUCUGCCUUGCAGCGCAAACUGGUUUACUUGAGUACGCGCAACGCAGGCGGAAUUCGUCGUGUAGCGGUGAAAUGCUUAGAUAUGACGAAGAACUCCGAUUGCGAAGGCAGCUGACGGGAGCGCAACUGACGCUUAAGCUCGAAGGUGCGGGUAUCAAACAGGAUUAGAUACCCUGGUAGUCCGCACAGUAAACGAUGGAUGCCCGCUGUUGGUACCUGGUAUCAGCGGCUAAGCGAAAGCAUUAAGCAUCCCACCUGGGGAGUACGCCGGCAACGGUGAAACUCAAAGGAAUCGACGGGGGCCCGCACAAGCGGAGGAACAUGUGGUUUAAUUCGAUGAUACGCGAGGAACCUUACCCGGGCUUGAA